rnacentral:rRNA from 1 species
GACGAACGCUGGCGGCGUGCCUAAUACAUGCAAGUUGAGCGAUGAAGCUUGGUGCUUGCACCAAUUUGAAGAGCAGCGAACGGGUGAGUAACGCGUGGGGAAUCUGCCUUUGAGCGGGGGACAACAUUUGGAAACGAAUGCUAAUACCGCAUAACAACUUUAAACAUAAGUUUUAAGUUUGAAAGAUGCAAUUGCAUCACUCAAAGAUGAUCCCGCGUUGUAUUAGCUAGUUGGUGAGGUAAAGGCUCACCCAGGCGAUGAUACAUAGCCGACCUGAGAGGGUGAUCGGCCACAUUGGGAGUGAGACACGGCCCAAACUCCUACGGGAGGCAGCAGUAGGGAAUCUUCGGCAAUGGACGAAAGUCUGACCGAGCAACGCCGCGGGAGUGAAGAAGGUUGUCGGAUCGUAAAACUCGGUUGGUAGAGAAGAACGUUGGUGAGAGUGGAAAGCUCAUCAAGUGACGGUAACUACCCAGAAAGGGACGGCUAACUACGUG